rnacentral:sRNA from 1 species
GACAGUGCUGACGCUACAAGGCUCGGAGCUCCGGGCACUCAGACAUCAUGAGUUGGUCCUUGAACCCCCGGAAUUUAAUUCUCUACCUUUAUGCUCUUUUAUUUCUCUCUUCAACAUGUGUGGCAUAUGUUGCUACCAGAGACAACUGCUGCAUCUUAGAUGAAAGAUUCGGUAGUUAUUGUCCAACUACCUGUGGCAUUGCAGAUUUCCUGUCUACUUAUCAAACCAAAGUAGACAAGGAUCUACUGUCUUUGGAAGACAUCUUACAUCAAGUUGAAAACAAAACAUCAGAAGUCAAAGAGCUGAUAAAAGCAAUCCAACUCAGUUAUAAUCCUGAUGAACCAUCAAAACCAAAUACGAUAGACUCUGCUACUCUGAAGUCCAGGAAAAUGUUAGAAGAAAUUAUGAAAUAUGAAGCAUUGAUUUUAACACAUGACUCAAGUAUUCGAUUUUUGCAGGAAAUAUAUAAUUCAAAUAAUCAAAAGAUUGUUAACCUGAAAGAGAAGGUAGCCCAGCUUGAAGCACAGUGCCAGGAACCUUGCAAAGACACGGUGCAAAUCCAUGAUAUCACUGGGAAAGGUAACUGAUGAAGGUUAUAUUGGGAUUAGGUUCAUCAGAGUAAAUAAUGUAAAGGAGAAAGUAUGUACUGGAAUGUAUAGGAAUAGUUUAGAAAGUGGCUACCCAUUAAGUCUAAGAAUUUCAG